GACGAACGCUGGCGGCGUGCCUAAUACAUGCAAGUAGAACGCAGUUGCGAACGGGUGAGUAACGCGUAGGUAAAUGCCUCAUAGCGGGGGUUAACUCUUGGAAACGAUAGUUAAUCCCCCAAACUGUGAGAUGGACCUGCGUUGUAUUAGCUAGUUGGUGAGGUAAAGGCGACACAAGGCGACGAUACAUAGCCGUCCUGAGAUGGUGCUCGACCAACCUUGUACGUAGACACGGGCCAGGCUCCUACGGGAGGCAACAGUAGGGAAUCUUCGUACAUUGACGGAAGUCUGACCGAGGAACGCCGCGGGAGUGGAAAAAGUUUUUGGAGCGUAAAGCUCUGUUGUUAGAGAAGCGGUAACUAACGAGAAAGGGACGGCUAACUACGUGCCAGCAGCCGCGAUAAUUC
rnacentral:rRNA from 1 species